AUACGGAGGGUCCAAGCGUUAUCCGGAAUCAUUGGGUUUAAAGGGUUCGUAGGCGGGUCAAUAAGUCAGAGGUGAAAUCUUGCAGCUUAACUGUAAAAUUGCCUUUGAAACUGUUGACCUUGAAUUACUGUGAAGUGGUUAGAAUAUGUAGUGUAGCGGUGAAAUGCUUAGAGAUUACAUAGAAUACCGAUUGCGAAGGCAGAUCACUAACAGUAUAUUGACGCUGAUGAAUGAAAGCGUGGGUAGCGAACGGGAUUAGAAACCCCGGUAGUCC
rnacentral:rRNA from 1 species